rnacentral:rRNA from 1 species
UACGAAGGGGGCUAGCGUUGCUCGGAAUCACUGGGCGUAAAGGGUUCGUAGGCGGGUCUUUAAGUCAGGGGUGAAAUCCUGGAGCUCAACUCCAGAACUGCCUUUGAUACUGAGGAUCUUGAGUUCGGGAGAGGUGAGUGGAACUGCGAGUGUAGAGGUGAAAUUCGUAGAUAUUCGCAAGAACACCAGUGGCGAAGGCGGCUCACUGGCCCGAUACUGACGCUGAGGCACGAAAGCGUGGGGAGCAAACAGG